rnacentral:rRNA from 1 species
UACGUAGGGUGCAAGCGUUGUUCGGAUUUACUGGGCGUAAAGCGCAUGUAGGUGGCCAUUUAAGUCAGAUGUGAAAUCCUGGGGCUUAACCCUAGAAGUGCAUCUGAAACUAUUUGGCUUGAAUGUGGAAGAGGGUAGCGGAAUUCCUGGUGUAGUGGUGAAAUACGUAGAUAUCAGGAGGAACAUCGGUGGCGAAGGCGGCUGCCUGGUCCAACAUUGACGCUGAGAUGCGAAAGCAUGGGUAGCAAACAGG